rnacentral:sRNA from 1 species
GCGCGAGGCGUGAGCGGCUUCUCCCAUUACAGUGGUUCCCACGGUUGUCUUAGAAACCAGUCCUCAAGGCUUGGCAAAGCGGGAGCCUUCCGCGGCAGAGCUUGGGUGUCCAGGAAACCCCAGGCAGAGUCCUGGGGUAGCAGCACGGCAUCCUAGCCUCAGGCCUGCCCGGACGGCGUUGGUUGGGCUACAUUGAGGCCGGGUGCAGUGGCUCACACCUAAUCCCAGUUCUUUGGGAGGCUGAGGCCAGCGGAUCACAAAGUCAGGAGAUCAAGACCAUCCUGGCCAACACAGUGAAACCCCGUCUCUUCAAAUAUACAAAGAAUUAGCCAGAGAAGCAGGGAAUCUGGAAUUUUGGGUGAAAUGUCUGUUUCCAGAAGCUGAAAAUGCUCUCAAAUGGAAAAUUCAGAAUGGCCUGGGGUACUGCACACUUCCUACCAGGAACAGAAGGCCCCACAGCUAUAGCACCUCUCUUCCCUUUAGUUCUUUGGAAGGAUGAGCAAAUUAUUCACCCUCUCUGAGCCUUAGUUUUCUCAUCCAUAAAAUGAUGACAGUUCACCAACCUGGCAGGUCACAAGGAUGUUAUGAAAUCAGAGUGCAGUGAAUAGAAGACACUUCUCUGCACCCCAAAAGCUCCAUGCUGAUUGAGAGAAGGAAAUGCUGGAUGGAGGGGUUCCUGGAACUACUGUGAGGGAAAUGGUGAGAGAACUUUGGAUGUGGAACGUGGAGAGGAGGAACACGAAGUGGGGAUCUGCACUUGGGGUGGUCAGCACUGCGGAUGCCCAGCAAAGUCACUGCCUGGUCCACAUCCCGAAGGGGUCUCUGCGCC